ensembl:lncRNA
GUCAAGUCAUCCAUAGUCAAUGUUGUAUAGUACCGCGGUGUAUUGAUUGGCCAUAGAGAACACCUGCCGGUCUUGAGCCAACAAACAUCUGUCAGCAAUAAAGAUGAGCCCCUGUUAUUUUCCUCGAGAGGAGGACGCUUGCACCUGACAAGCUGCUGCAUGUCUCCCAGCAGAGAUGUGAAGCAGUAGAAGGCCUGCAAGCCAACUGACUGCUCUUACAUAUUCCUCAGGAGAAAGGUUGUUCGUACGUGACAGACAUCGGGGCUAAAAAUAGACCACACCCUCCAGGCCUUGGGAAAACCGGACAAGACUGACACCUGGUGGUGGGCUCUGGGAAUGCAGCUAGAACUAGAAUCUCAAUAACAACCUUGAAGCAAUUACCCGACCAGUCACAGCACACAGACAUUGUCAGGAGGCAUGGUUUGCCUGAACUUGAUGUAUGGGGAAUAUAAUGAUGUAACGUGAUGGCUGACGAUGCACCAGAUGGAAUACCCAGGCCCAUGUGUCUCUGCUGGUCCUGAUCUGUCCUGGACGCCCCAAGGGAUGCUGGGUAAUAACCGGGGGAGGUCAUGGCUAUGGGGCAACGGGAGCAGCCAGGGAAGUAGAUAGCUUGAUGGAGAGGAAAAGAGGAGGUGAGAGGUCAAAGAUUCUGUCAAUAUUCAUUGGAAGGAGAGCGAUGUAGGUGGAC